UACAGAGGUCCCAAGCGUUGUUCGGAUUUACUGGGCGUAAAGGGCGCGUAGGCGGUUCGUUAAGUCCUGUGUGAAAUCCCCCGGCUCAACUGGGGAACUGCACAGGAAACUAGCGGGCUUGAGUUCGGGAGAGGGAAGCGGAAUUCCGGGUGUAGCGGUGAAAUGCGUAGAUAUCCGGAGGAACACCGGUGGCGAAGGCGGCUUCCUGGACCGACACUGACGCUGAGGCGCGAAAGCUAGGGGAGCAAACGGG
rnacentral:rRNA from 1 species